rnacentral:rRNA from 1 species
GGAUAACCUGGUAAUUCUAUGGCUAAUACAUGCGCACAUGCCUCUUCCCUCGUGGAAGGGUAGUGUUUAUUAGAUACAGAACCAACCCACCUUCGGGUGGUCCCCAGGUGAUUCAUAGUAACCGAACGGAUCGCAUUAUGACCUUUUGGUCGGCGAUGGAUCAUUCAAGUUUCUGACCUAUCAGCUUUCGACGGUACUGUAUUGGACUACCGUGGCAGUGACGGGUAACGGGGAAUUAGGGUUCGAUUCCGGAGAGGGAGCCUGAGAAACGGCUACCACAUCUAAGGAAGGCAGCAGGCGCGCAAAUUACCCAAUCCUGACUCAGGGAGGUAGUGACAAGAAAUAACAACACUGGAAAUUCUAUUUCUAGUGAUUGGAAUGAUGGGAAUCCAAACCCCUUUCAGAGUAACAAUUGGAGGGCAAGUCUGGUGCCAGCAGCCGCGGUAAUUCCAGCUCCAAUAGCGUAUAUUAAAGUUGUUGCAGUUAAAAAGCUCGUAGUUGGAUAUCUGCUGGAAGCAGCCAGUCCGCCCUUUGCGGGUGUGCACUUGGUGAAUUCUGGCAUCCUCCUGAUUGGUGUCAUCAUCACUUCAUUGUGUUGGUGGCAGCUGUCAGGACCGUUACUUUGAGAAAAUUAGAGUGUUUCAAGCAGGCUUGUUGCCUUGAAUACUGCAGCAUGGAAUAACAAGAUAGGAUUUCGGUUCUAUUUUGUUGGUUUCUAGGACUGAAGUAAUGAUUAAUAGGGACAGUUGGGGGCAUUCGUAUUUAACUGUCAGAGGUGAAAUUCUUAGAUUUGUUAAAGACGAACUACUGCGAAAGCAUUUGCC